rnacentral:sRNA from 1 species
GCCAGGCAUGGUGGCACAUGCCUGUAAUCCCAGCAGCUCAGGAGGCUGAGACAGGAGGAUCGAGAGUUCAAAGCCAGCCUCAGCAAUGGCAAUAUGCUUAGCAACUCAGGGAGACCCUGUCUCUA